GUUGGGAAACCUGCAAGGCACCAGCAUGGUCCCACCAAGGUGGAUCCUGUAGGAGGAGUCAGGGCUAACACCUGCAACAGAUGUGACUAGGAUGAAGACUUUGAUGCCUGACGUGAUAAGGGUGUACUGGCUGGUUUUAUGGGUCAACUUGACAGAAGUUAGAGUCAUCAGAGAGGAAGACUCAGUUGAGAAGAUGCCUCCAUGAGUUCCAACUGUAAGGCAUUUUCUCAAUUAGUGAACAACGGGGGAGUGUCCAUCCCAUGCUGAGAUGAAGAUACAUAAUUUGGCCAAGGAAAACACAGCUAGCUGAUGGCAGAGGAGGGCUGCUGGUCCAGUCACUUGCUUUACAUUGAAGAACUUUUCCACAAUAAAUCUGAAUGCAAGAGGAUGCUCUCAUUCAACUCUAAUCUACUGCCUAAACUACAGAAACAUACUCAGCUGUGCUGCAGAGCUGGGAGAGUCAAUCCAUCCAC
rnacentral:lncRNA from 1 species